rnacentral:lncRNA from 1 species
GGGUCCACCUCCACCGGUUCCACCUCAGUUUGCCGCUAGGCCACCACAACAGGGGUACCCAAUGCCGCCACAAUUUGCCCAAAGACCAAUGGGAAUGCCUCCCCAGCCACAGGCACCAAUGAUGAGGGGGCCUCCUCCUCCUGCUCCAAGACCUGGAAUGCAAGCGCCACCUCCUCCUCGUCCUGGGAUGCCUCCUCCAGCUGGUGGUGUUCCUGUUUAUGGACCUCCUCGUCCUGGUAUGCCACCUCCUCUCAAUCCCCAACAGCAGCAGCAGAAUCAGCAGCAACAAUGAUUAGGUAUGGCCUAUUUUUAUGUUUGGGAUGUUGCAUUAUUUUGUUCGGUAACUUGUUUGAGUUGCCCCUUUCUUUGCUAAUUGUUAUUCCUUUUAGAGGAAAAUUUUGCUUACUAUUGCAUAUGACAUGGUCUUUGGUGCCACACUGGAAUGGACAAUCACGUUCCGUCUAUGUGAACCUUGAAGUUGAUUUUCUCGUGUCGUAUGAAUACCAAAAAAUAUAUUAAACCAUCAGUGACUAGCUUAAUUGAUCUUUGUUUAUGUGUAGACCUACAGUCUAAUACCAAUACAUUUUUUUUUAUUUCUAGAUGUGGCAAUUACUACAUUUAAA